rnacentral:rRNA from 1 species
UGGGGAAUUUUGGACAAUGGGGGAAACCCUGAUCCAACCAUCCCGCGUGUGCGAUGAAGGCCUUCGGGUUGUAAAGCACUUUUGGCAGGAAAGAAACGUCAUGGGUUAAUACCCCGUGAAACUGACGGUACCUGCAGAAUAAGCACCGGCUAACUACGUGCCAGCAGCCGCGGUAAUACGUAGGGUGCAAGCGUUAAUCGGAAUUACUGGGCGUAAAGCGUGCGCAGGCGGUUCGGAAAGAAAGAUGUGAAAUCCCAGAGCUCAACUUUGGAACUGCAUUUUUAACUACCGGGCUAGAGUGUGUCAGAGGGAGGUGGAAUUCCGCGUGUAGCAGUGAAACGCGUAGAUAUGCGGAGGAACACCGAUGGCGAAGGCAGCCUCCUGGGAUAACACUGACGCUCAUGCACGAAAGCGUGGGGAGCAAACAGG